UUCAGAGCCCUGGAGACGGAAGAUCUUCUUUAGCCUCACGGAACGGAUACAACAUGGCACUGAAAGAUUCCCAUACCCCACCCAGAGUGCCCCAUCAAUGUUCCUCAACCCUGACUUCGAGGGACCAACUCUAGGAGCUAAGGAUAGUUCAAGGCUAUAACCCAGUAACCCAGUUCAUUCAUUGGCUUCU
rnacentral:sRNA from 1 species